AAAUUGAAGAGUUUGAUCAUGGCUCAGAUUGAACGCUGGCGGCAGGCCUAACACAUGCAAGUCGAACGGUAACAGGAAACAGCUUGCUGUUUCGCUGACGAGUGGCGGACGGGUGAGUAAUGUCUGGGAAACUGCCUGAUGGAGGGGGAUAACUACUGGAAACGGUAGCUAAUACCGCAUAACGUCGCAAGACCAAAGAGGGGGACCUUCGGGCCUCUUGCCAUCGGAUGUGCCCAGAUGGGAUUAGCUAGUAGGUGGGGUAACGGCUCACCUAGGCGACGAUCCCUAGCUGGUCUGAGAGGAUGACCAGCCACACUGGAACUGAGACACGGUCCAGACUCCUACGGGAGGCAGCAGUGGGGAAUAUUGCACAAUGGGCGCAAGCCUGAUGCAGCCAUGCCGCGUGUAUGAAGAAGGCCUUCGGGUUGUAAAGUACUUUCAGCGGGGAGGAAGGGAGUAAAGUUAAUACCUUUGCUCAUUGACGUUACCCGCAGAAGAAGCACCGGCUAACUCCGUGCCAGCAGCCGCGGUAAUACGGAGGGUGCAAGCGUUAAUCGGAAUUACUGGGCGUAAAGCGCACGCAGGCGGUUUGUUAAGUCAGAUGUGAAAUCCCCGGGCUCAACCUGGGAACUGCAUCUGAUACUGGCAAGCUUGAGUCUCGUAGAGGGGGGUAGAAUUCUAGGUGUAGCGGUGAAAUGCGUAGAGAUCUGGAGGAAUACCGGUGGCGAAGGCGGCCCCCUGGACGAAGACUGACGCUCAGGUGCGAAAGCGUGGGGAGCAAACAGGAUUAGAUACCCUGGUAGUCCACGCCGUAAACGAUGUCGACUUGGAGGUUGUGCCCUUGAGGCGUGGCUUCCGGAGCUAACGCGUUAAGUCGACCGCCUGGGGAGUACGGCCGCAAGGUUAAAACUCAAAUGAAUUGACGGGGGCCCGCACAAGCGGUGGAGCAUGUGGUUUAAUUCGAUGCAACGCGAAGAACCUUACCUGGUCUUGACAUCCACAGAACUUUCCAGAGAUGGAUUGGUGCCUUCGGGAACUGUGAGACAGGUGCUGCAUGGCUGUCGUCAGCUCGUGUUGUGAAAUGUUGGGUUAAGUCCCGCAACGAGCGCAACCCUUAUCCUUUGUUGCCAGCGGUCCGGCCGGGAACUCAAAGGAGACUGCCAGUGAUAAACUGGAGGAAGGUGGGGAUGACGUCAAGUCAUCAUGGCCCUUACGACCAGGGCUACACACGUGCUACAAUGGCGCAUACAAAGAGAAGCGACCUCGCGAGAGCAAGCGGACCUCAUAAAGUGCGUCGUAGUCCGGAUUGGAGUCUGCAACUCGACUCCAUGAAGUCGGAAUCGCUAGUAAUCGUGGAUCAGAAUGCCACGGUGAAUACGUUCCCGGGCCUUGUACACACCGCCCGUCACACCAUGGGAGUGGGUUGCAAAAGAAGUAGGUAGCUUAACCUUCGGGAGGGCGCUUACCACUUUGUGAUUCAUGACUGGGGUGAAGUCGUAACAAGGUAACCGUAGGGGAACCUGCGGUUGGAUCACCUCCUUACCUUAAAGAAGC
rnacentral:rRNA from 1 species